rnacentral:rRNA from 1 species
CUACGGGGCGCAGCAGCGACGAAUAUUCCGCAAUGCGCGAAAGCGUGACGGAGCAAUGCCGCGUGCAGGAUGAAGCGGCUUCGCCGUGUAAACUGCUGUCAGGGUGCAGGAAUACUGACCAUACCCAAAGGAAGGACCGGCUAACCUCGUGCCAGCAGCCGCGGUAAUACGAGGGGUCCGAGCGUUAAUCGGAAUCACUGGGCUUAAAGGGUACGUAGGCGGCCCUGUAAGCAUCUCGUGAAAUCCCACGGCUCAACCGUGGAAUUGCGGGGUGAACUGCAGGGCUUGAGGCAGGUAGAGGUCGUCGGAACGAUCGGUGGAGCGGUGAAAUGCGUUGAUAUCGAUCGGAACGCCGAAGGAGAAGUCAGGCGACUGGGCCUGUCCUGACGCUGAGGUACGAAAGCGUGGGUAGCGAACGGGAUUAGAUACCCGUGUAGUC